NAGCACGCUUCACUGCGGAGUUCUGAUGGGAUCCGGUGCAUUAGUGCU
rnacentral:rRNA from 1 species